rnacentral:tRNA from 1 species
AAAGGCUUAGUUAAUUAAAUAUAACACUAGUUUGUCAAACUAAAAUAAUCACCAUGAUAGCCUUUU